rfam:Anopheles stephensi strain Indian chromosome 2L
ACUGCCGGGCGCCAAACGGGAUCAGCAGCAUCCCCACGAUGCCCUCAGCAGCAGGGACUGUACAAGUGCGGU